rnacentral:rRNA from 1 species
GAUGAACGCUGGCGGCGUGCUUAACACAUGCAAGUCGAACGGGAAACCUUUUAUUGAAGCUUCGGCAGAUUUAGCUGGUUUCUAGUGGCGGACGGGUGAGUAACGCGUGGGUAACCUGCCUUAUACAGGGGGAUAACAACCAGAAAUGGUUGCUAAUACCGCAUAAGCGCACAGGACCGCAUGGUCCGGUGUGAAAAACUCCGGUGGUAUAAGAUGGACCCGCGUUGGAUUAGCUAGUUGGCAGGGUAACGGCCUACCAAGGCGACGAUCCAUAGCCGGCAUGAGAGGGUGAACGGCCACAUUGGGAAUGAGACACGGACAAGACUCCUACGGGAAGCAGCAGUGGGGAAUAUUGCAAAAUGGGGGAAACGCUGAUGCAGCGACGCCGCGUGAAGGAAGAAGUAUCUGGGUAUGUAAACUUCUAUCAGCAGGGAAGAUAGUGACGGUACCUGACUAAGAAGCCCCGGCUAACUACGUG